GGCAAUCGUCUUCACUAUCUAUGUAAGUUUGCUUAAUUGCGUGGUGUUUGACAACUGGUUCUUAGAAGGAGAGUAGGAGUUUAUAGGAACAUGAUGUGCUUGAGUAUGUAUACUUGCAGAUAGGAUGACAGGCUGAUAGGGUGCCUCUGUUAAUGUUACCUUGUAUCCAAUAACUUUAGGUUUGCACAAAUGAUUUGACACUGUUAGUUUAUCUAUUAUUGUUGCCGUUUGCCUGGGGUCUUCUUUUGGUCUUUAGGUUCGUAUAAUUUAAGGAACUGACAUGUAUCUGAUUCUCGAGUUGUAAGUAUGGAUUUUGAGGCACAAAAAGUGGGAUGCAUAUUUUAUUUGGUGGUGCUUGGCUUGUUAGGAGCCCUAUGGGAGAAUGAUUUUGUAAUAUUGAGGUGCUUAUAAAUAAUCCAAUUAACUUUAGCUUUUUGCUUAAGAUAAUUUUAGUACUUUUUAACCUUGUAAAAAAGCUACUCAUCAAUUUUUUUCCCUAUACAUUAUAUUUAAAGUUGAAUUCUUCAUACCAAAGCUGAUUCUUCAAAUCUCAAUUGGCACCUUCAAAUAAUUUAACUUGUUGGACUAAAAAUCCAACUUAUAAAUUUUACUCUUAAAACAUUCAGCUUUCGAUUUUUAUUUUAUUUAAUCUAUUACAUAUUGAGAGUCUAGAAUCAUGUUUCACUGCAAAUUGUUACUAUUCCUCAAACUAAUGAUUCAAUUUAAAUUAUUAUUAGUAGGAACUUUUUUUAUAAGUUAAAGGUUUACUUUAAUGCAGUUAAUUCUAAUGUUGUUACUUGGAUUUAAGGGGUUAAUGUUUGGGUAUGAAGAAUCUAGUUUUGGAUUUGAUGAAUAAAAAAAAAUUUAUGUACCUGCCUCUUAGACAAAUUUUUAUAAAUAUUUUAAGUAUUUAUACGUUUGAUGGUAUUUUUGUCUAAUAAUUUAAAUUAUAAUGAAAUUUAGAAGUUCGGGCAUUCUGGUAUGAUGAAUUCAAUGGGUUUGGCUAGUAGAAACCAGUUCGAUAAAUUUUAUUGACAUGUUUCUUAAAAAUUUUAAAAUUUAUAAAUGUCUGCUCUAAUUUUAACUGCCAAAGUUUGAUAAUCUGAAUUAUAUGUUGUCUUGAGUUUUUGCAAGCGAUUAUUAAGUAUGCUUGGAUUUGCUUGAGGCCUCUGCUUCUGCUAUUGAUUUUUGAUAUUUUGUUGGUUUUUAUAUAUGCUUUAUAUUUCAAGCGAGUUGCUUAUUGAAUUAUGCCUUUUUAGAUGAAGGUGCUUCAAUCCCUAUUCUCCUAACUGUUUUCUUCUAUGGUAGAAUCCAUCAUGGAGGGUAGUGAAUAUAAAGAUUUGCCUUGUCUAAUUUAUAAUACCACACUGGUUACCAGGUGUUAUUGUAAUCCCAUGAUUGAUUUGACAGGUGUUGGUUCUUCUUUUUCUCACA
rnacentral:misc_RNA from 1 species